rnacentral:misc_RNA from 1 species
GAUGAAGAACGCAGCGAAAUGCGAUAAGUAGUGUGAAUUCCAGAAUUCAGUGAAUCAUCGAAUCUUUGAACGCACAUUGCGCCCUUUGGUAUUCCUUAGGGCAUGCCUGUUCGAGCGUCAUUUGAAACCUCAAGCUCAGCUUGGUGUUGGGUGUCUGUCCCCGCCUCACCGCGGGGACUCGCCUCAAAAUCAUUGGCGGCCGGUACGUUGGCUUCGAGCGCAGCAGAAACGCGAACUCGAGGCCCGGCGGAUCGGCGACCAGAAGUCACUUCUUCACAGUUUGACCUCGGAUCAGGUAGGGAUACCCGCUGAACUUAAGCAUAUCAAUAGCGGAGGA